rnacentral:rRNA from 1 species
CUAGCUGUAAACGAUGGAUACUAGGCGUUGAGAGUAUCGACCCUCUCAGUGUCAUAGCUAACGCGUUAAGUAUCCCGCCUGGGGAGUACGCGCGCAAGCGUGAAACUCAAAGGAAUUGACGGGGGCCCGCACAAGCGGUGGAGUAUGUGGUUUAAUUCGAUGCAACGCGAAGAACCUUACCAGGGCUUGACAUGUCCGGAACCCUGCCCAAAGGCGGGGGUGCCUACGGGAACCGGAACACAGGUGGUGC